UGGCGGACGGGUGAGUAAUGUCUGGGAAACUGCCUGAUGGAGGGGGAUAACUACUGGAAACGGUAGCUAAUACCGCAUAACGUCGCAAGACCAAAGAGGGGGACCUUAGGGCCUCUUGCCAUCGGAUGUGCCCAGAUGGGGUUAGCUAGUAGGUGGGGUAACGGCUCACCUAGGCGACGAUCCCUAGCUGGUCUGAGAGGAUGACCAGCCACACUGGAACUGAGACACGGUCCAG
rnacentral:rRNA from 1 species